ACUAUGGGGGGUGGGGAGGACCGAGCUUUGCCUUUUGCCUUUGCUUUUUCUCCCUGUGUGCCCCCCCUGGCUGCCCAUGUCCCUCCAGCACGGCUCCUUUGUGCAUCCUCUCCCUUUGCUCUGUGCACAGCGUUGUUCUCUUUCAUCUCCAUUCCCUCAAUUGACCUCUCUGUGCUUCUCCGUUUGCUUCCUGCUGCAAUGUUCUCUUCCUGGUACCCACAUGCCUGUCCCCAGGGGCAGGAUGCUCAGCACAGCCUUUGGCAAGGAGGGUUAACAGUCCUCAGGUGUUGCAUAGUGCUUCUCCUUCAGCAGAUCUCAAAGGAUAUCACAAGGAAAACUGGUGCUGGCAGCACUGAGCUUCCUUGGUUUCUUGUGCAAGGCCUUGGCACCAUCUUGCUGCCUUGAUUCCCUGCACGGUGGAGGGCAGCUGCAGUCUUAGGAGGAGCUGAGACUUCGGAACUCACUUUUUUGAGCUGGAAAAGAGCUGGUUGGGUUGCAUGGAUGAACUGAGGACGGCCUUGGGAUGCAUUUAAUCUUCACAGAGCUUUUGAAGGGCAAGCAUUGUGUUUGCUGUACCAGGUGUGAGCUGGGAGUCUGGGGUUACAUCUGAAGCUCCUUCCUUUGUGCUUCUUUUGCGUGGGCCUGAUGGAAAAACCCUUCCAUCCUAAUACUGCUGCCAUCUGUGUUGGCUCCAUAGAGGCAGAACAAGAGUAAAUCCUGCCCUGUCCUCCUCUCCUGCAUCCCCCUGGCACUCAGACAUGCAAAGCACCCUGCAGUCCCACCAACCCCAGGCUUAUCUGAGGUGGCACCUUGGAAGGGCUGAGCAUCACCUCCCUGCUCCCUAUUGGAGCCCUGUGCCAAGCAGAAAGGAGCAGGAGAAUUGAGCAGGGAUGAUGUGCUUGUAGUUAAAGGGACUUCCCAGGUGGUACAGCUGAUCUGUGUGGAUAUCACACAGCCCAAAGCAGUGUGAGCGCUGGGUAUUCCUGCAGUCUUCGCUGCUGCUGCAUCCUCAAUUCAUUCGCUUUGGCAUGGAAACCUCUGCUCCCCUGCUGCAGGCUGGCUCUCCUGCUCUGUGCUCUGUGCUAAGCCAGCUCACACACAAGCUGCUCCUCUCUCCCAGCCCUGACAUUGAAAACUCACUGCCAUUCUGAGAAUCAAAGGGAUGCUCGCAAUGCUCCAUGCUGCCCUUCUCCUUACUGGUUCUCCCAUUCAGAUGAGCUCUCCAGGCACAAGAACUCGCACUCCGGUAUCAAACCACACCAAUGUGCCACCUGCAAGAAGCACUUUGCUGGCCAAGCACAUGAGGAUCCAUCAGGGCCAACUGGGAAGCAAUGGGAUGUAGGGCUGACUUGGUGACAGUGCAAGGAGAGCUGAAGAAGAGAAAUGACUUUGUAGUGGCUGAUGGUGCUUUGGAGCUCUCCCCAAUGACGGGCUGCAUUCAGGCUUUGUUUCUAUGUGAUACACAUGGUGGAGAUCUAUUGGAGUCCAUGGGGAGCUGAAGGGGAUCCUAAAGGAUCAUCUGCAUGCAGACACAGCCAUGCAUGUGGGUGCAGGAGAGCUGCAUGCAUUGGCUGGGGGGAGCUCUGCAGCUUGCUGACGUCCUCUUUAUAUUUAACUUCUGGUUAAUUAAAGGCCAACUUUUUGCUCCCGUGCCAGCUUGCCAAGCUUUUGCAAACAUCUGGGAGGGAAUCAGGUGCUUGUACAAACAAAGAACGAACGUCAGGAGUUCCAGCUGGGUGGUGUGUCCCUCCUACGUGGCUUUGCCUGCAUGUCUCAGGCUGAUGUUUGCUGCCUGCAGGCCCCUUUGUCACUCAGGUUUGCUUGUGCCAUUAUUGCAUUGUGCUUCUAGGGCAGGACUUUGUGUGUUUGUGUGGAGCUGCUGCUUUGGUGAGGAGAUUUGGGGUGUACCUAUAAGAAGGGCAGGGAAAUGAACCUAAUCCUGUUCCUAAAGCAGAGCUUAAACUCCUUGAUUUAUUCUGCUGCCCCUAUGCCCAAGAAACACCUCCUAUAAGUGACAAGCCGGGGCAGGCAGGGCUCUCUCCAGGGGCUUCGUGCCAACGUGACUCAUGCCCGUCUCGUGCUUUCAUCUGCCCUUCUUUUGCUCCUCUCCCUCACUCCAGACUCUCCCAGCACACUCCCUGUUCGCUUUGGACCUGCCUCAUCCUGCCUCCCUCUGUUUGAAGCCGAAGGCAACUGGGAAAGGCGCCUUUCCAAACUGGAGCAAGAAGAGCCGUGUCUCAGCCUUCAUGCCAAGCAGUUCUUCCCUCCUGCAGCAGCUAUUUGCUGAGCAGAUGCUAUGGGGUGGAUCUGCUAUGGAAGACGAGGCUGGGAGCGCUGGCUGUGGUGUCUUGCUGCUCACCUGGUUGGUUUUGCCAUCUCUUUUAAGCAGACCACAAAGGGAGGGGAGAGAUCUUUAAUAAAUAAAACACUCCAGAUCCGUAUCUCUUGA